rnacentral:rRNA from 1 species
GACAGAGGGUGCAAACGUUGUUCGGAAUUACUGGGCGUAAAGCGCGUGUAGGCGGCUAUGCAAGUCGGAUGUGAAAGCCCUCGGCUCAACCGGGGAAGUGCACCCGAAACUGCAAAGCUAGAGUCUCGGAGAGGAUCGUGGAAUUCUCGGUGUAGAGGUGAAAUUCGUAGAUAUCGAGAGGAACACCGGUGGCGAAGGCGGCUUUCUGGCCCGUUCUUGACGCUGAGGCGCGAAAGCUAGGGUAGCAAACGGG